rfam:Oryza sativa (indica cultivar-group) chromosome 4, whole genome shotgun sequence.
AAAAAGACAAACCGCGGGUUUGCGUGCCAAUGUUUGACUGUCCGUCUUAUAUGAAUUUUUCUUAUAAUUAGUAUUUUCAUUGUUGUUAGAUGAUAAAAUAUGAUGAAUACUUUAUGCGUGAUUUUAUCUUUUCAAUUUUUUUCAUAAUUUUUUUAAAUAAGACGGACGAUCAAACAUUAGACACGGUAACCAGGGUUUGUCUUUUC